GACGAACGCUGGCGGCGUGCUUAACACAUGCAAGUCGAACGGAAAGGCCUGCUUUCCCUUGUGGAUUGCGGGUACUCGAGUGGCGAACGGGUGAGUAACACGUGAGUGAUCUGCCCCCAACUUGGGUAUAAGCCUGGGAAACUGGGUCUAAUUCCCGAUAGGACUGCAGGGUGGUGCCUGUGGUGGAAAACGAUUUUCUAGUGGUUGGGGAUGAGCUCGCGGCCUAUCAGCUUGUUGGUGGGGUAAUGGCCUACCAAGGCGGCGACGGGUAGCCGGCCUGAGAGGGUGGACGGCCACAUUAGGACUGAGAUACGGCCCAGACUCCUACGGGAGGCAGCAGUGGGGAAUAUUACACAAUGGGCGGAAGCCUGAUGCAGCGACGCCGCGUGGGGGAUGACGGCCUUCGGGUUGUAAACUCCUUUCGACCGCGAGGAAGCCACCUGGUUGGAAGGGUGGUGACGGUAGUGGUAGAAGAAGCACCGGCUAACUACGUG
rnacentral:rRNA from 1 species